rnacentral:rRNA from 1 species
UACGGGGGGGGUAAGCGUUGUUCGGAAUUACUGGGCGUAAAGGGCUCGUAGGCGGCCAACUAAGUCGGACGUGAAAUCCCUCAGCUUAACUGGGGAACUGCGUCCGAUACUGGAUGGCUUGGAUUUGGGAGAGGGAUGCGGAAUUCCAGGUGUAGCGGUGAAAUGCGUAGAUAUCGAGAGGAACACCUGCGGCGAAGGCGGGUUGCUGGGCUGACACUGACGCUGAUGCGCGAAAGCCAGGGGAGCAAACGGG